AGUGAACGCUGGCGGUAGGCCUAACACAUGCAAGUCGAACGGCAGCACAGUAAGAGCUUGCUCUUACGGGUGGCGAGUGGCGGACGGGUGAGGAAUACAUCGGAAUCUACUUUUUCGUGGGGGAUAACGUAGGGAAACUUACGCUAAUACCGCAUACGACCUACGGGUGAAAGCAGGGGAUCUUCGGACCUUGCGCGAUUGAAUGAGCCGAUGUCGGAUUAGCUAGUUGGCGGGGUAAAGGCCCACCAAGGCGACGAUCCGUAGCUGGUCUGAGAGGAUGAGCAGACACAGUGGAAGUGAGACACGGUCGAGACGCCUAAGGGAGGCAGCAGUGGGGAAGAUUGGAAAAGGGGCGGAAGACUGAGAAAGCAAUGCCGAGUGUGAGAAGAAGGUCUUCGGAUCGUAAAGCACUUUAAGGGGGGAAGAAGGGCAGUAAGUGAAUACCUUGCUGGUUGGACGUUAAAAAAAGAAUAAGCACCGGCUAAUUGAGUG
rnacentral:rRNA from 1 species